AAUCCUGAAAACCUAACCGCACAUACCCUGCUGCCUCCGUUCUCUGCAACACCGCAAAAGCCGCCGCCGUGAACCCCACAACUUCGUUGCCAUCGCCGGCCCUUGCCCACGCCAAUGUGGAUUUGGCCUCGGAGGCCAGCACACGCAUGGCGCAGGAGGCGACCAAGGGCGGCACUCCAUCCAGCCUUCACCACGGAGGAAACUGAGGGCGCCGCCGCCUACCUAGCCCUCGCCGAAUCUGGACCCUCGAGCGGAGGAUCUUGGCGUCGGAUCCGUAUCUUGGAGCGGAGGAGCUCGGUGCCGAUCCAGACGCUGGAGCAGUCCCACCCCCACGUUAAGUCCAGCAGCGAGCACUUCAAGGCAAAACUGGUCCACAUCGAGCUGCUCAGGUGACUCAUGUGUUCCCCCAUGUGGUUCUAUAUCCAUCUUUCUGCAGGGAUUUUACUAGCAUGCCGGUGGUGAGGGAUCUGCACGGCCAGGGUCUGACGCUCGACGGAACCUGAUCUGAAUGAAUCCAAGUGCCAUGAUGCCAAUACUGCAGAUUUUGCUCAUCCAGUGCAAUGACCAGAGCUUGCAUUCGGAUUCCUAAAAAUCUAGUAUUUCACAUUCCAGGAGAUACUUAAAUCUUAGCUUCGACCAUGUUUGUUUUUUUAGAGUAAUUUUUAAUCAAAUGCUAUGCAGACCCAUGGGUUGAGGAAUAAAGCGACACUGGAAGUUUAUGAGAGAUAUAUUUUUUUAUUUCAAAUAUGUUGUUUGCUACGGCAUGCUUAUCAUGAUUGGAGGUUCAUGUUAUGUGAUAGUCUUAUUCAUCUGUGGGUAUGAAGAUCUAUUAAUGUCUUACACAAAUUUGUGAGGACACAAGUGAAUCCUAUAUGUAUUCCAAAAUUAUCUUCACUUAUACAGGCUCUACUUCUUCCCAUUUUCACAAAUGUGUUAUGGAAGUAGGUAGUAUUAAUUUAGUUGGCCCAACUAAUUAUACAUUAGCUUCAAUAAAUUCUUGUGUAUUGUUUUAUGAUUUUUUGGUUGGAAAUUUCAUAUCAUUAAGAGAGCUCUCUGCUUUUAUUUUGCAUACCUAACUUAGUUUUCAGUUUUAUAUUCUUUGUAUGAAUCAGUUUGGAUGUAGUUUCAGUUACCGUUUGUAUUUCUAUCUAGCUUGUUAUAUGAUAUAUGUGAAGCUACUAUAAUACUAUGCAUUUUGGCUUGUAUCUUUUGUCAUCACAAUUUUAGAUGAUUGUUUUAGUAUGGAACGCAUGAGCAUGUGCUCUGGUCUGGCUGUUACCAUUUAUUCAACAUUUCUUAGUGCUAGUUGUCUGAAUAUUUUGCUUGAUUUAUUCUCUGCACAAGUUGUGGUCUUUUUACAAUGUAAUAGCAGCUUAACUCAUUCUGACCUUUUAGUUAUGGCCGCUUCGGUUACAAGUCGUUUUGCCUGCCUUGGUUUUUAGGUAGCAAUAAUAGCAGACUGUUGUAUUCCUCUCUAACGAGAAUCAGCAGCUGCUACAAUUUGUUCUUGUUGUCAGUUCUCUAAAGUCUGAUUAAUAUGUUGACAACUAAAGAAUGCAGGUUUUUAUUAACUAGUGCAGCAGCAGCUCGUGCUUUUCAAGGGUAGUUUUUCUCGCUGCCAUUCACCAACCACAGCCACAGGAGUAGACAGACAGCAGCUAUUGGUUUUCUUCAAUGACGACAAAAGCUUUAGCAAUAGUAUUCUGGUAUGUUCAUUUCAAUUUAGGAUUCAGUAACUAGUGCAGCCGCACAUUGGAGUUAGUUCAGCACUGUUAGUGCAUCACUUUACAUAGAUUUUAUUUUGUGAAUUUUCAGAUUUGAUGGCCAUUUAUUCUUUUUAUACAAAUGAUCCGGCUCCAAUGUCUUGGUUCGGCUGUAGCGCCAUCCUGGAGCGCACGACGAUCUGAUAGGUGGCUACUGGUUGUAUUUCUUUGAUAAGUGGAGAAAAUUUGACAAGUGCACAAAAUGACCAUCCAUGCUUUCAAUAAGGGAAUCGAUGGAUAAACAACAUUGGAGAAAUGCUUGACGAAGGAGCAUCAUUCCAUUGAGGCGGCUGCAUUGCCUAUUUGCUUAUUUGCGGCACGGAGAGACAAUUGUUGGUUGUAUGAAUUAGUCUUGUUUUUAAAUUGCUUCAUCAUCAAUGUGUAAAUAUUUAUAUAUACAUAAACAUAUUUGACCAAAUGGUUGUAAAUCUAUAAUUGGAAAUGUAAUAAAGAAAUGUCAUCAUAUUUAUCAUUCAA